rnacentral:lncRNA from 1 species
CUGACUCCUCCCCUUUUAGGCGACAGUCCUUUCAUCUCAUCGUUGGUUUAUUUCAAGACAUGAUGUGUUGGAGUUAAAUAUUAGCAAUAAUGGAAAGACUAAUAAACCAUUGUCUAUAGCAUUGUUCCUCUUCUCUGACAGCAUUGAGAUUGCUAAGAUAAGAAGUGGUCAUGGUUUUGUUGCUAUGAAGGACUCAUACAAACCAUACAGACACUUGGAAUUCCUCACAUAUUCUAAUAUUAGAUCAGUCAUUGAUUUCACUGACAGUGAAGAUGUUGUUAAUGGUUUUGGUCU